AACGCACAUUGCGCCCGCCAGCACUCUGGCGGGCAUGCCUGUCCGAGCGUCAUUUCAACCCUCAGGACCCCUCCUCUCGGGGAGGGGCACUGGUGUUGGGGAUCGGCCCGCCCCCGCGCGGCUGCCGGCCCCGAAAUACAGUGGCGGUCUCGCUGUAGCCUCCCCUGCGUAGUAACAUACCUCGCACUGGAGAGCAGCGCGGCCACGCCGUGAAACCCCCAACUUCUGAAUGUUGACCUCGGAUCAGGUAGGAUUACCCGCUGAACUUAA
rnacentral:misc_RNA from 1 species